CGCAUCUGUGCAUGCAGCAUAUCAAUAAGCGGAGGAAAAGAAACUAACAAGGAUUCCCCUAGUAACGGCGAGUGAAGCGGGAAGAGCUCAAAUUUGAAAUCUUAAAGGUUUUCCCUUGACGAAUUGUAGUUUAAAGAAGUAGUUUUCUGUUGAAGGUUUUGGUAAAAGUUCUUUGGAAUAGGACAUCAUAGAGGGUGAGAAUCCCGUAUUUGACCAUUACUUUCAGCUGUGUGAUACACUUUCAAAGAGUCGGAUUGUUUGGGAAUGCAGUCCAAAAUGGGUGGUAAAUUUCAUCUAAAGCUAAAUAUUGGCGAGAGACCGAUAGCGGACAAGUACCGUGAGGGAAAGAUGAAAAGAACUUUGAAAAGAGAGUUAAACAGUACGUGAAAUUGUCAAAAGGGAAGCGUUUGACACCAGUGUUGUUUUCUCGAAAAUCAAUCAAAAAGAGUUAGAUUUUGUUGUGUAUUGACCUUAACAGCUUGCAUUUCAAUUUUCUUGCUUUUUUUAAUGCACUUUUCGUUUAACAAGUCAACAUCAGUUUCUUUUGUUGUAAAAAGGUCAUUGGAAGGUGGCUUUCUUUUCGGAGAAAGUGUUUAUAGCCUUUGACUCCUGCAAUCGGAGAGACUGAGGUCUGCAGCGUAGAUCCUUCGGGGUUAGAUACAUUUGUGCUAAGUUAUAGCUUUUUAUAGACAACUUGUUGACUAUGAUUAGUCUUGUAGCUUACUCGCUUAUGCUAUUUUACCUACGCUUAGGAUGUUGAUCUGUAGUGCGUGCGC
rnacentral:rRNA from 1 species